rfam:Oryza glaberrima chromosome 4 Oglab04_0326_11, whole genome shotgun sequence.
AAUGUAUGAUACCGUUGAUUUUUUAUCCAACGUUUAACCAUUCGUCUUAUUCCAAACAUUUAUGUAAUUAUUAUAUAUUUUAUUGUGACUUGAUUCGUCAUCAAAUGUUCUUUAAGCAUGACAUAAAUAUUUUAAUAUUUGCACAAGAAAUUUGAAUAAAACGAAUGAUCAAACGUUGGUCAAAAAGUCAACGGCGUCAUACAUA